GCGGGUUUAGCUCAGUUGGGAGAGCGUCAGACUGAAGUCACACUUCAUCAUGUAAUCUGAAGGUCAUGUGUUCGAUCCACAUAAACCGCA